rnacentral:rRNA from 1 species
AUACGGAGGGUGCAAGCGUUACUCGGAAUCACGGGGCGUAAAGCGCGCGCAGGCGGUCUUUUAAGUUGGACGUGAAAGCCUACGGCUCAACCGUAGAACUGCAUCCAAAACUAUUAGACUAGAGUGUGGGAGAGGAAGAUGGAAUUAGUUGUGUAGGGGUAAAAUCCGUAGAGAUAACUAGGAAUACCAAAAGCGAAGGCAAUCUUCUGGAACACUACUGACGCUGAGGCGCGAAAGCGUGGGGAGCAAACAGGAUUAGAAACCCUAGUAGUCC